rnacentral:rRNA from 1 species
CCUACGGGAGGCAGCAGUGGGGAAUAUUGCGCAAUGGGCGAAAGCCUGACGCAGCGACGCCGCGUGAGGGAUGAAGGUCUUCGGAUCGUAAACCUCUGUCAGCAGGGAAGAACGGUCACUGUGCUAAUCAGCAGUGAAUUGACGGUACCUGCAAAGGAAGCACCGGCUAACUCCGUGCCAGCAGCCGCGGUAAUACGGAGGGUGCGAGCGUUAAGCGGAAUUACUGGGCGUAAAGCGCUCGUAGGCGGUAUGUCAAGUCAAGGGUGAAAUCCCCGCGCUCAACGUGGGAACUGCCUUUGAAACUGGCAAACUGGAGUGUGUGAGAGGAUAGUGGAAUUCCAGGUGUAGGAGUGAAAGCCGUAGAUAUCUGGAGGAACAUCAGUGGCGAAGGCGACUAUCUGGCACAUAACUGACGCUGAGGAGCGAAAGCGUGGGUAGCAAACAGGAUUAGAUACCCUAGUAGUC